CCCUUAGAUGUCCGGGGCUGCACGCGCGCUACACUGAAGGAAUCAGCGUGCUAAAACCAUUGUCGAAAGACAUUGGUAAACCCAUUAAAAUCCUACGUGAUUGGGAUCGGGAAUUGCAAUUAUUUCCCUUGAACGAGGAAUUCCCAGUAAGUGUGGGUCAUAAGCUCGCGUUGAUUACGUCCCUGCCCUUUGUACACACCGCCCGUCGCUGCCCGGGACUGAGCCGUUUCGAGAAAAGCGGGGACUGCUGCUGUCGGGGCUUUCGGGCCUUGGCUUCGGUGGAAACCGCUUUAAUCGCAGUGGCUUGAACCGGGCAAAAGUCGUANCA
rnacentral:rRNA from 1 species